UACGAAGGGGGCUAGCGUUGCUCGGAAUCACUGGACGUAAAGCGCACGUAGGCGGACUCUUAAGUCGGUGGUGAAAUCCUGGAGCUCAACUCCAGAACUGCCUUCGAUACUGAGAGUCUCGAGUCCGGGAGAGGUGAGUGGAACUGCGAGUGUAGAGGUGAAAUUCGUAGAUAUUCGCAAGAACACCAGUGGCGAAGGCGGCUCACUGGCCCGGUACUGACGCUGAGGUGCGAAAGCGUGGGGAGCAAACAGG
rnacentral:rRNA from 1 species